GAUGAACGCUGGCGGCGUGCCUAAUACAUGCAAGUCGAGCGAACGGACGGGAAGCUUGCGUCUCGGAUGUUAGCGGCGGAAGGGUGAGUAACGCGAGCAUAACCCACCUAUAAGAAUGCGACAACUUCGGGAAGCCGAAGCUAAUAGCGGAUAAUAUUUUGAUCGGCAGGGGUCAGAAGUGAUAGCCGGUCUUGCGGUCACUUACAGACGGACCCGCGCUGCAUUAGCUAGUCGGUAAGGUAACGGCUUACCAAGGCACCGACGCAUAGCCGACCCGAGAGGCGGAUCGGCCCCCUGGGAACGGGCCCACCCCCCCGACUACUGCGGCAGGGAGCAGUAGGGAAUGUGCCGCCGUGGGCGCAAGUCUUACGCAGCCACGCGCAGUGAGUGAUGAAGGUGCUCCGAUCGUAAAACUCUGUUAUUAGGGACGAACCUAUGUGUAAGUAAAUGUGCACAUCUUGACGGUCCCUAAUCAGAAAGCCCCGGCUAACUACGUG
rnacentral:rRNA from 1 species